rnacentral:rRNA from 1 species
CUGUAACUGACGCUGAGGAGCGAAAGCAUGGGGAGCGAACAGGAUUAGAUACCCUGGUAGUCCAUGCCGUAAACGUUGGGCACUAGGUGUGGGGACCAUUCCACGGUUUCCGCGCCGCAGCUAACGCAUUAAGUGCCCCGCCUGGGGAGUACGGCCGCAAGGCUAAAGCUCAAAGGAAUUGACGGGGGCCCGCACAAGCGGCGGAGCAUGCGGAUUAAUUCGAUGCAACGCGAAGAACCUUACCAAGGCUUGACAUGUUCUCGAUCGCCGUAGAGAUACGGUUUCCCCUUUGGGGCGGGUUCACAGGUGGUGCAUGGUUGUCGUCAGCUCGUGUCGUGAGAUGUUGGGUUAAGUCCCGCAACGAGCGCAACCCUCGUUCCAUGUUGCCAGCACGUAAUGGUGGGGACUCAUGGGAGACUGCCGGGGUCAACUCGGAGGAAGGUGAGGACGACGUCAAAUCAUCAUGCCCCUUAUGUCUUGGGCUUCACGCAUGCUACAAUGGCCGGUACAAUGGGUUGCGAUACUGUGAGGUGGAGCUAAUCCCAAAAAGCCGGUCUCAGUUCGGAUUGGAGUCUGCAACUCGACCCCAUGAAGUCGGAGUCGCUAGUAAUCGCAGAUCAGCAACGCUGCGGUGAAUACGUUCCCGGGCCUUGUACACACCGCCCGUCAAGUCACGAAAGUUGGUAACACCCGAAGCCGGUGGCCUAACCCUUGUGGGGGGAGCCGUCGAAGGUGGGACCAGCGAUUGGGACUAAGUCGUAACAAGGUAGCCGU